AACGCACGAGACCUGCGGACCUGCGGAGGGAUCAUUAUUGAAAUCCUUCCAAGGAUGUUGCUGGUCCUUAGAGACAUGUGCACUCCGUCUUUCUAUACACCUGUGAACUUAUUGUAGGUGCAGAUGUAACAAGUCUGUUACCUAUGUUUUUUAACACACUCUUUUAAAAUGUAUAAUGGAAUGUUUGAUGGAUAAUAAUAACAAUACAACUUUUAGCAACGGAUCUCUAGAUCGGAAGAG
rnacentral:misc_RNA from 1 species